GUUGCAGCAGUCACGGUUAGUUCUACCUGGAAUCCUUGGGAUGUUUUUAUCCUAAACCAUACCCUUACCUAACCAUUUCAAAAAUGUCAAUUUGGGACGUCGCAAGGAUUCCAUGUAGCAAGGACAUUGCAUUGAGAAGUUACAGCAACAGCCCACACACAGGCACAAAAGGGGAGGAAUGUUCGGCGGAAGAGGUGGCAAAAAGCUAGGAAAGGGGACUGCAUGUGUGCCGCAACAAGGCAAAAUUAUGCUGUGACGUCGUCGCGGCAACGGCAUAAACGUAAUAUACCGACAAAUCAAGGAGCCAAUAGCGGAACUCUGAAAUAUAGUUGACAACAUUGGAGCAGUCAUUAGAGGAGAACAUGUUCAGGAGCCUGACAUUUUACGAACUUUACUCGCUAACACUGCGUAGAAACGGUGUUUUAGAUAUCAGGUCAAGAGGAUGUGUCCUACAAUAUCCAUGAUAGGAGGGUGUUUGCCCCCCUUUGGCCAUGCAUCGUGGGCAUCGAUGACAACUGCCAAUACACAACAACCCAGAGUCCAGAACCAGAUCCUGAGGACAAACAUCCUUCUGCAUCAAGGUCCUUUCUCAUGUUCAGACAGACUAUAUCCCACUACCUAAACUUGCGGUCAGCCUACAGCUAAUUCAUCCCUGCAACAGACUGAGCUGACCACCAUGCACUCUGAGGAUGGAUCUACGGUCGACGACAUCUUCUACUCCAAGGCUGGGCAAUUCUGGUGGAGGUCAACGGCAGAGCGGAGGUUUGAAGCUGCUUGGUCGUCUCUCCCCCCAAUUAGAGGAGGAUCUCUGGUCAAUGAAAGGUUUACCCAAUUAAUUGUUCCCUUCGGACCAUCUCAGUCUCCUGGCCAGGUUCCAGCUGGACUGAAACCCUGUGUAAUUUGGGCUGUUUGUGAUCAAUUAAUAAUCAGGAGGACCGAGGUCAAGUAUUUAAAAAUGUUUGUUCAAACUGUACAUGAUUUUCCCAUGGUGUGAUUCCAUGUUUUAUAAGUUCAUAAUUGUACUUAAUUGGUUCCUUGGGCUCACAUGGUUGUUUCCUACCUGAAGAGAAACUACUCAUCCCAAGGUCCAGAGGGGAUGGGAUGUCCUCUGAAGAAUUGUUUUUGUUUACAUGAAGAGAGAGCAAAACAAACCAAAAAGGUUGAAUUUAGUUCAAAGUUGGAAUUUAUUUGACAAAUUCUCUUACUGUUGAGAUUUGAAUGCAUGAAGCUUUUAGAUUUUAAAAGUUAAUAUUUUGUGAACAAACUGAGUAAACAAU
ensembl:lncRNA